rnacentral:lncRNA from 1 species
GGGUAAUAUCAAAAAGUGAGUCAAGUCAUUGUUUAUAGUGAAAAUAUGAGCGGACUAUUAUAUUGUGGCAAACACAGCAUUACAGUUGGAACUGAAAAACCUUUUACUGCAGCGGGCUAAAUCAGGGUCACACAGAGUGUUUCUUGGUAGUCUUAAACAAGUGUACUUUGAAACAAAAGUAUUCACCUCAAACACAUGGUUAUGGGCUUAAAAAAAGAAGACACCUGUACAAUGUCAGAUAUAGAGAUGAAAUGUAUUACAUUUUGAGUUUGCAUACAAAUAUUACACUUUAUACAUAUCACAGAAGACUGAAAUAUAACAAAACAGUUUGACAUAGAAACACCAGAUUAUCUGCAGCUUUUUUUUUUUUAAGUGUAUUAAUUAUGAAAUCAUGAAAAAUAUUAGUAACAUUCCACCCAUGAGGCCACUAAGUCAUUUGACUGCAGGAUACUUUGGCUGAAGGAAAUUGCUCAACAGAAUGAAACAAAACACUUGCAAACGGGUUUAAACCUUAACAAAAGUUUUGAACAAGCUAUAUUGCAGCAAUUACUAACAAAGACAAGUGGCUACCAUACCAAAAAUGACAGAAAUAGGCUAAGGUUAUAAGUAGGUCUGUUGUAAAAUAAAUAACAUAUCUUAAACUAAAGACGGAGCUCAAAAUUAAAAGACAGUUAACAUUUAAUUUAGCCAAUGAAAAUGUCUCAACAGAAUUAAACAAAACAGAUUUUGCAUAUUUAAAGAACUGUUUUCGAUUAAUAAAUAGGCUUACAAUAAUAACAAUGAUAUACAAUAAUUAUUAUUAUGAUAAAACUCUGAUGAUUAAACUAAAUGAUUAAACUACAUUUUAGUUCCAAAAUUGCAUCCUACCUGAAUAGGGAGUUGCACAGUAGUCUGCAUUCUUUUUAUCUUAGUCCACUACAAUAUUAAAACUCGUAUAAAAUUCCUCUUGUAGGCUUUUCAAUAUAGACAUCCUCUUUUUCAUCUAACUUUUGGUUGACUUGAAAAAGGCCUCCAUCUUUGCAAGUAUCUGUAGCCUAGGCCAAGCUCCUCUGUUCCUCUCUCUCUCCCUCUCCUCAGCAGCAGGCGCAUGUCUGAGCAAGGCGAGAGAGAUUGGUACUGAAGCGCCAAUUCGGGGUGUAGGCUAUGAUAGACAGCCUCUCCUGGACAAUUUGUCCUGCUACAAUUUUAUUUAUCUGCUUUAAUUUAAAAAAAUCUCAGCCAAAUGCAGGCAAUUACCAGCUAAGGGAACCCAUGGAGCAUUUUCCCAUCAGAGGGUGAUUUGAAAAGUCAUAGUGUUCCAUCAAAUGUACUUGUUGAAGAUAAAAGUAUGUGUGUAAAUAUGUAGUGCACAUGAAAAUUCCCAUGUAUCGAAUAAAUGUACCGGGUUUCCAUCACAUUUUCAAGUCUUACUUAUGGUUUUGUCACAAAACAUGUUGCGUAGCGAAUGUGCCCACUCUGGUAUUGGCGGGUGCGCUCCAGUUCUACUACAUGAUGAGAUUAUUAUGGACAGAAGUGCCAGAUUAUUUUCUUUCUUUUUUCAAAUGGGAGCCAAGCAUUGAUCACCAUGUCACCAAAACAAGAUCCUCGAUAUUUAUUGAAAGCAGCAUCAACUUCAUCACUGUGCAGUUUCACCACCCUGUGAAGUUCAUCUUAACUUAUUGCAUCUGUAUCCUAGUAAACUGCAUGCUUUCCCAUGACGUGGUGACAUUUUUCUAUCAGACAUGUAGGCUACUUUACUCGCAUAAAAAGGUUGAAAGGAAACCUGGUUAAUGUCAAGCCAUUUUGAGGAUGUUGGAAUUCUUGAAUGAAUGUGCGUAUGCCUACAUGAAGCUUUUGAAGUAGCCUAAUCUGAUUCAAACAUCGUGACUGGAUGUGUUUAUGCCAUAUAUAUAAAAGGUAAUACAUCUAAACAGUUACAUGAUACAUAUUUUGGCUAUAUUGAAGCGUUAGGUUCUAGGUGUUUGAAGAAUAGCCGGAGAGGAAGCAGAACGUGUUAAACUUUCCUGGAUAACUGGGCAUGCCGGGAGCAUAUGUGGCCACAUUAUUAUAGGACGACUUGGGUGAAUGAUUAUCUCAACAAACAGCGCAUUCAGUAUCAAAAGUAAAAAUACAGCCAGACUGGCCUGCUACUGUUCCUUUCUAGACCUUACAAACUGCCAAGAGUAGACCCACAACUCAUCCAAAUCUAAUGAAACAUUCAUAUCACAGUGCUUUUGCACUGUUAUUCAAAUGACUCUUUCACUGCAGCAUAGAGUAGGCUAGAAUGUUGACUCAACGCCACAAGAGCAAAGAACAUAUUUCAAACCUUGCAUGCUAGGGGGAGGUAGUUGCAAUAACGUUGGAAUGGUUUAGUCGACUUCCUCAAUAGUUGGUCCAGAAGAUCCACCGCCUCCAGAAACGGCGCCACCUGGUGUUGUAGGCUAGCAUAGGUAGGAUAAUUGUAUUGUCCCUAAACAAGAUCAGUAAGAUUUGAGUUGUGUGCCUCAUGGCUUCACUGUUCUUUCAUGCGCAAUGAUGCACCUGGCCUCUCCGCUGCCUAUCAGCUAAUCCUAUUUGUUCUUGUCCAUUCAUAUAAAAAAGAAACCAAUUUACACGAUUCACCAUCAUUCUCUGUGAGUCUCGCUAUAAAGUUAAGAAGUGGGUUGAUCUCUGUGAGAUUGUCUAAUUCCCUCUGACUGAGGAAGGGUCAGUGUGAUGUAGUUUUAUUUAUUUUUAUUUUUAUUGAACCUUAAUUUAACUAGGCAGGUCAGUUAAGAACAAAUUCUUAUAAAUUCGUAUAUACCCACUUGAUGUACAGAUAAACCCACUUUUUGUACAGUUACCUGGGCGUUUUCCUCUCCCUGUUUACUCUGUUACAUCUCUACAGAAUCUACAGAGGGGUUCUGCAGUGCCAGACAGCAGGUACCUCCAGGGCUCCUUUCCCAACAUCCAGAUUUGUCCCCCUGUAUCUAUCCAACAUCAGACAUCCAUCAAGAUGCAUCAUGCUCCUAAAUCUCAUCUACCAUAACAUUCUGGUUAAUUAAGUCUUUUCUAACUAAAUCUUCCCUAAAUGAUUUUCAGUUGUAGGUGUGGUGUCUUAACUAAUGAAGCAACAGUUAUAACAACAUUCAUCGGUCUUUGUACUUGGCGACUUCAACCUCCCGACGUCUGCCUUCGAUUCAUUUCUUUCCAACGCUCUCUUUCCCCUCCUUGCCUCUUUUGACCUCACCCUUUCCCAAUCCCCUCCAACUCACAAGGUAGGCAAUACGUUUGACCUCAUCUUUACUAGAGGCUGUUCUCCUACUAAUCUCACUGCAACCCCCCUCCAGGUCUCUGAUCAAUACUUUGUUUCCUUUUCAGUCUCCCUAUCCUCCAACCCUAACCACUCAGCCUCUACCCAGAUGGUCAAGCGCCAUCACAAUCUUCACUCUCUCUCUCUCCCUCUACUCUCUCCUCUUCUAUCCUAUCUCCAUUCUGCUAAAUCCUUCUCCCUCCUGUCUCCUGAUUCUGCCACUUCGACCCUACUCUCCUCCCUUUCCUCAUCCUAUGACUCGCACUGUCCCCUUUUCUCCCGACCAGGUCGGCCCUCCCCUCCUGCUUCGUGGCCAAGUGACUCGUUGCGAGUUUACAGAACAGGGCUGCAGGCAGCUGAGCAAAAAUGGAGGAAAACUAAACUUCCAGAGGACCUAUCAUUCUUUCACUCCCUCCUACCUACCUUCUCUUCCCAGAUGACAUCCUGCGACUAGUGAGGUCUGGCCGCCUGACAAUCUGCCUGCUUGACCCCAUCCCCUCCUCCAGACCAUCUCUGGAGGCCUUCUCCCACUCCUCACUUCCCUCACUUCCCUCAUCAACUCAUCCCUGACCACUGGCUGUGUCCCCUCUGACUUCAAAAUGGCCCGAGUUGCUCCCCUCCUCAAGAAACCAACACUCGACCAACAUCUGACAUCCAAACAACAUCUGACGUCAAAAACUAUAGACCUGUAUCCUUUCUUUUUUAUCUUUCCAAAACACUUGAGCGUGCUGUCUCUGAUCAACUUUCUCGUUAUCUCUCUCAGAACAAUCGUCUUGACUCUAGCCAGUCAGGCUUCACGACGGGUCACUCAAUCGAGACUGUUCUUCUCUGUUACGGAGGCUUUCCGCACUGCCAAAGCUGACUCUUCUCUGUUCUCAUCCUCCUAGAUCUAUCCGCUGCCUUCGACUCCGUGAACCAUCAAAUCCUCCUCUCCACCCUUUCAGGGAUGGGUAUCUCAGGCUCUGCAGACUCUUGGUUUGCAUCCUACCUGGCAGGCCGCUCCUACCAGAUGACGUUGAGAGGAUUUGUGUCUGCACCACGGACUCUCACUACUGGUGUCCCCCAGGGCUGUGAGAUGUGGUUGUCCCACCUAGCUAUCUUAAGAUGAUAGCACUAACUAUACAGUCUUGUCCCAACGCUGCAACUCCCCUAUGGACUCGGGAGAGGCGAAGGAUGAGAGCCAUGUGUCCUCCGAAACACAACCCUGUCAAGCCAUAUUGCUUGUUGACACACUCCUCGCUUAACCCGGAAGCCAGCCGUACCAAUGUGUCGGAGGAAACACCAUCCAGCUGGCGACCGAAGUCAGCCACAAGGACCCGGAACGCCACAAGGAGUCACUAGAGCACGAUAGGACAAGGAAAUUCCAUCUGGCCAAACCCUCCCCUAACCUGGACGAUGCUGGACCAAUUGUGCGUCGCCUCAUGGGUCUCUCGGUCGUGGCCGGCUAUGAUACAGCCUGGGAUUGAAGCCGGCUCUGUAGUGAUGCCUCAAGCACUGCAAAGCAGUGCCUUAGACCGCUGCACCACUUGGAAGGCAGUCUAAACUCUUUUGACCGAAACUGCUUUGUUUUAAAGAUGAACAUUGCAUUGCAUGGCCUCUGAAGACACAUUUGGAAGGGUACCAUACAGUAAGGGGAUCUGCUGUACCUGUAUAUUGUGGGUGAAAAAUUCAGUUAUAAAUGAUUUUGUCUUAGUUAAGAACAAAUUGUCAUCCAGUAGGCCUUGAUUACAUUUCCAUUACCCCGUCCACAUGGAAAUUCUGUAAGAAUUAUGUGGAGGCUAAUUAGAUGGUGGUCCGAUCGCAUUCUGUCUCCUACCAAUACUUUUUUAAACUUUUGGUGCCAGAGAGAAUAACACAAUCAAUUAUUCAAGAUGGCUAGCUUGAUUAAGUCUCCUCCAUGUAUAUCUCACUAGGUCUGUUUUUUUUGUUGCCUCCAUAUAUCCACUAGUACUAACGUGGGGCGGUAGGUAGCCUAGUGGUUAGAGCGUUGGGCCAGUAACCGAAAGGUUGCUGGAUUGAAUCCCCGAGCUGACAAGGUAAAAAUCUUGAACAAGGCAGUUAACCUGCUGUUCCCCGUUAAGCCGUCAUUGUAAAUAAGAAUGUGUUCUUAACUGACUUGCCCAGUUA